rnacentral:rRNA from 1 species
GACGAACGCUGGCGGCGUGCUUAACACAUGCAAGUCCCUUGGAAAGGCCCUGCUUUUGUGGGGUGCUCGAGUGGCGAACGGGUGAGUAACACGUGAGUAACCUGCCCUUGACUUUGGGAUAACUUCAGGAAACUGGGGCUAAUACCGGAUAGGAGCUCCUGCUGCAUGGUGGGGGUUGGAAAGUUUCGGCGGUUGGGGAUGGACUCGCGGCUUAUCAGCUUGUUGGUGGGGUAGUGGCUUACCAAGGCUUUGACGGGUAGCCGGCCUGAGAGGGUGACCGGCCACAUUGGGACUGAGAUACGGCCCAGACUCCUACGGGAGGCAGCAGUGGGGAAUAUUGCACAAUGGGCGGAAGCCUGAUGCAGCAACGCCGCGUGCGGGAUGACGGCCUUCGGGUUGUAAACCGCUUUCGCCUGUGACGAAGCGUGAGUGACGGUAAUGGGUAAAGAAGCACCGGCUAACUACGUGCCAGCAGCCGCGGUGAUACGUAGGGUGCGAGCGUUGUCCGGAUUUAUUGGGCGUAAAGGGCUCGUAGGUGGUUGAUCGCGUCGGAAGUGUAAUCUUGGGGCUUAACCCUGAGCGUGCUUUCGAUACGGGUUGACUUGAGGAAGGUAGGGGAGAAUGGAAUUCCUGGUGGAGCGGUGGAAUGCGCAGAUAUCAGGAGGAACACCAGUGGCGAAGGCGGUUCUCUGGGCCUUUCCUGACGCUGAGGAGCGAA